rnacentral:lncRNA from 1 species
GGUAGUUAGUGGAGAAGGGGAGGGUGCCCUGAGGGAGGGAGGACUCUGCAGAGGGAUGGGCAGCCAAGAGUUGAUCCACCUGUACAGGGAAUCUCCUUGGUGAUCCUGAAUCCAUUUGUGAGUCCAGGAUGUCUUGGUGGUGGCACAACAUCAGGCCUCUGAAAUAGGGAAAGCGUAGACUUGACCCCUGUGAACUAUGCUUUGGAAGUAAAUGAUGAAGGAGAAAUAAAGAAUAAUGCGUUUCCACAGUUUCAACAGCCAACAGGAGGCCGCCACGGCCCACCCAACUCAUCAUACGAGAUGCUCAAGAAAUAUAACUUGGGAGCAAAUACAUGCAUGAUGAACGCCAAAGAGCUUGGAAGGGAGAGAUUUGAAGAUGUACAGAAAAGAACGAUAGACCCUGACCAGAAGUGAC